AUGGCCAUCAUCAUGUCAUCCACACCAGCAGCCUGUUCAGUGUCCCUUGAUAUCCUUCAUGGAGAUGAUAGUCAGAUUUUUGGCUCCUGUGUUCUCAACACAGUUGAUAAUGGCCCCUACCUGAAAAGUCCCAAGGAAUCUGGCCUCACCCCCAUUCACCUUUUUUAUUUUCUCUCAAGAGCAGAAAUUGCCAAGACCAAGUGGUACUCAAAGAGGCACUGUGAGACUGUUAAACUGGAGGACAAGGUUGGCUCUGUGGUCAUGGCUCAUACCUCUGUGACCUCGGAGUCUGUGGGUGGAGAAAAAUUUGACAAACUCGUGAGAGGAGUAGGCGGAGACAGCAGCAAGCCAUCAACUGCAAUGUCUGUAUUUGAUGAUUUCCGCAACCUUUCUAAAAGCAUCUGUUCUGUUCUGCCUCAGCAAAAAAAAAAAAAAGAAAGAAAAGAAACGAAAGAAUAACAACAGGGAGUUGAAGCUAUCACUCUGGAGCUAGAAGAGCUCAAGAAAGAGUAUACAUCCUACAAACAACAGCUGGAAGCUGUAAAUGAAGCUAUCAAGUCCUAUGAAGGUCAGAUUGAAGCAAUGGCAAUUGAGCCAAAACUAAGGAGUCAGUAAAUAAAGCUCAAGAAGAAGUGACCAAGCAAAAAGAAGUGAUAACAGCUCAAGACAGUGUAAUUCGAACUAAAUAUUCAGAAGUGGCAAAAUAUAAAGAGCAAAACAAUAACUCACAACUUAAAAUUAAGGAACUGGUCUAUAACAUCAGCAAACACAAACAAGAAGCUAAGGAUACUGCAGCAAAGGUGUCCAAAAUGUUGAAAGAUUAUGACUGGAUCAAUGCUGAGAAACCCCUGUGGCCAAGCGAAUAGCGCCUAUAAUUUCAGAACAAACAUCCCCAAAGAAGCUGGUCAGAGACUUCAGAAGUUGCAAGAAAUGAAGAAGAAACUGGGAAGAAAUGUCAACAUGAGAGCCAUGAAUGUAUUGACGGAAGCUGAAGAGCAGUAUAAUAAUAUGAUUAAAAAGAAGAGAAUUGUAGAAAAUGACAAAGCCAAAAUCCUUACAACUAUAGAAGACCUUAAGAAAAACCCUAAAUAUUGCAUGGCAAAAGGUGAACAAAGACCUUGGAUCUAUUUUUUUUCUACCCUUCUGCCUGGUGCUAAUGCUAUGCUUGCACCUCCAGAAGGACAGAUUGUAUUGGAUGGUUUGGAGUUCAAGGGUGCUUUAGGAAAUACUUGGAAAGAAAACCUAACUGAACUUAGUGGUGGUCAGAGGUCUCUAGUGACUUUGUCAUUUAUAUUGUCCAUGCCUCUCUUCAAACCUGCUCCAGUUUACAUCCUGGAUGAAGUGGAUGCAGUCUUAGAUCUUUCUCAGACCCAGAACAUUGGACAGAUGCUGCGGACUCAUUUCACACAUUCUCAGUUCAUUGUGGUAUCCCUAAAAGAAGGAAUGUUCAACAAUGCAAAUGUCCUUUUCAAGACCAAGUUUGUGGAUGCCUUGGAAUGUUGCAUGUGUGAUUUAGGUGUUGUGUUUAAAUACUGGUCAGUGACAGAUAUACAGAAAGAUCAAUAA